CAAUAGCGUAUACUAAAGUUGUUGCAGUUAAAAAGCUCGUAGUCUGAUUUCGGGGUGCAAUUUUUUUUCUGGGUGGGAUUUUGUGUGGUAGCGAGAGUAUUUUCUCUUGUUGCUGUCACGGCCCCCUGGAUGCACCUCUUUUUCCCGAUUAUUGCUGGUGCGUGUGCAUUUGUUUGCUCGUGUGCCGUUUUAUGGCGAUGUUUGGGGCUUUACUUUGAAAAAAUUAGAGUGUUCAAAGCAGGCGUUUUUUUAUUUGCUUGAAUAGAUUAGCAUGGAACAACAGAAGAGGACUUUUGGGCCUGUUUUUUGUUGGCCGGGGGGCGCCUUCGUUUCGGCGGGGGUGUCUUCCGCAGGUCUGAAGUAAUGAUUAAUAGGGAUGGUUGGGGGCAUUGGUAUUUCACAGUCAGAGGUGAAAUUCUUGGAUUUGUGAAAGACGACCGACUGCGAAAGCAUUUGCCAAGGACAUUUUCAUUGA
rnacentral:rRNA from 1 species